GUUGACCUCGGAUCGGGUAGGGAUACCCGCUGAACUUAAGCAUAUCAAUAAGCGGAGGAAAAGAAACCAACAGGGAUUGCCCUAGUAACGGCGAGUGAAGCGGCAACAGCUCAAAUUUGAAAUCUGGCGCAAGCCCGAGUUGUAAUUUGUAGAGGAUGCUUCUAGGCAGCGGCCGGUCUAAGUCUCUUGGAACAGGGCGUCAUAGAGGGUGAGAAUCCCGUAUGUGACCGGCUGGCACCUUACACGUAGCUCCUUCGACGAGUCGAGUUGUUUGGGAAUGCAGCUCUAAAUGGGAGGUAAAUUUCUUCUAAAGCUAAAUACCGGCCAGAGACCGAUAGCGCACAAGUAGAGUGAUCGAAAGAUGAAAAGCACUUUGGAAAGAGAGUUAAAAAGCACGUGAAAUUGUUGAAAGGGAAGCGCUUGCAACCAGACUUGCUGGCGGUGUUCCGCCGGUCUUCUGACCGGUCUACUCACCGCCUGCAGGCCAGCGUCGUCUGGGGCCGCCGGAUAAAGGCUUCGGGAAUGUAGCUCCUCUCGGGGAGUGUUAUAGCCCGUUGCACAAUACGGCGCGCGCCGGGCGAGGUCCGCGCUUCGGCAAGGACGCUGGCGUAAUGGUCGUAAGCGGCCCGUCUUGAAACACGGACCAAGGAGUCGAUCAAUUGUGCGAGUGUUCGGGUGAAAAACCCUUGCGCGUAAUGAAAGUGAACGGAGGCGAGAACCCUUCACGGGCGCAUCGUCGACCGAUCCUGAUGUCUUCGGAUGGAUUUGAGUAAGAGCAUAGCUGAUCGGACCCGAAAGAUGGUGAACUAUGCCUAAAUAGAAUGAAACCAGGGGAAACCCUGGCGGAAGUUCGCAGCGGUUCUGACGUGCAAAUCGAUCGUCAAAUUUGGGUAUAGGGGCGAAAGACUAAUCGA
rnacentral:rRNA from 2 species